rnacentral:rRNA from 1 species
UACGAAGGAUCCAAGCGUUAUCCGGAUUUAUUGGGUUUAAAGGGUGCGUAGGCGGAUUAUUAAGUCAGUGGUGAAAUCUUGCAGCUUAACUGUAAAAUUGCCAUUGAUACUGAUGAUCUUGAGUACAUUUGAAGUGGGCGGAAUAUGUCAUGUAGUGGUGAAAUACUUAGAUAUGACAUAGAACACCGAUUGCGAAGGCAGCUCACUAAACUGUAACUGACGCUGAGGCACGAAAGCGUGGGGAUCAAACAGG